GAUCAUGGCUCAGGAUGAGCGCUAGCUGCAGGCUUAACACAUGUAAGUCGAGGGGCAGCGGGAUUGAAGCUUGCUUCAAUUGCCGGCGACCGGCGCACGGGUGAGUAACGCGUAUCCAACCUUCCGCUUACUCGGGGAUAGCCUUUCGAAAGAAAGAUUAAUACCCGAUGGUAUCUUAAGCACGCAUGAGAUUAAGAUUAAAGAUUUAUCGGUAAGCGAUGGGGAUGCGUUCCAUUAGG
rnacentral:rRNA from 1 species